AUUGUCUGUGCGCCCUUUCUUUUUGUGGCAUAUUUUUAGAUUGUUGGCUUCUAAAAGACAAGAAUGGUGGGCAUGUAUUUUAAUAAAUCAGUUUACAGUGCAAGUGUUUCCCCUCCUUGGAAACCAGAUCACCAGCUGGAGAGCCUUUAGUGGAGCAAAAGCCAUGGUGACACCCACUCUCUCUGUGGGCUGGCCAGAAGUAGGUGUGAGGAAGUGCACCUAAGACACACCCUGUCAUUUCCUCAUAGGACUGUUGGGAGACACAAGAUGAACCUGCUUUUAGAAGACAGUGAUUCCCAAACUCUGGGAUGUUCCCGGGUGGGGACAGCAUUUCAGACCAGGAAGCUGAGCCCCUCUCAUUUCAUCAAUUGGAGGGAAGCCCUCGCCGGCGGUCGAGGGAGGAACCCGCGCCAGGACGUUCUGCCUUUUUCGGAGACACAGACAGAAGGAGCUGGAAGCCGCCCGCCUGCCGUAAUUGGCUCUCUCCAGGCUGCUGCCUUGUGAGGAGAGGCGAUGCUCCCUCCUCUGCACACAGUGAUUGCUGGCCCAAAAUAGCCCUGCACCUGCUCUGAGAUGCCUGAGAGAUAAUUUCAGCUUCCAAGGAAACUGCCCUGAUUGGUGUUGAUUUUUCAUGACCUCCCUUCAGGCAAACACCUGGAGAUAAGCACCUGAUCACAGAGGUGCAUCCCGAGAUCGGAGGGCAUAGAGGUGUGCAGCCCAGUCCUGUCCAUGAGAAGAGAUGCCCUCUUCUCAUCUCCCCCAGGGAGGCCUCGCUGUGAGGUCUCCGCAAUGCAUGGACUCACUCCAAAGAGUUAGACAUUAACCAGCUGAUUCAGUGGGGGUGGGGGGCACUGCCUGGGGAGCCGUUUUGGAGGCAGCACUCAAAGACAGCCGGCCGCCUCCUGUCUCUGACUCACAGCCUAACUCUGACCAGUCUUUCCAGCCUAUCUUCACCUCUGCCCACUCACCCAUCCAGCUCAAACUGGCCCUACAAGAGAGCUCCCCUCUAGCUCAGAAUGCUGGUCUGCUCACCUUCUAGCUUAGACGGUAUUUUCCGUAGAUCCCCCGUGACCACCAUGUGCAGAAAGAUCCAGGGGACUUGAGAGAAAUAUAAACAAGCAGCUGAAAACUUGGGAUCCAGAGGGAUCUGUGCAGCAGGAUCGCCCUUAAGAUGCUAAAAGAUGGCUUCCUGUGGGUCAUCCCAUCUGAUUCUCUCCAAGACUCUAGGUGGCCAGUGUCCUUCAUGUCCAUGUGUUAGAUGUUUGUUAACUUGCCCCAGGCCACAUAACUCGCAGAGCUAGAAGUUGAGUUUCGACCCAGUAUUUGAAGUCCACCCUCUUUUCUCUGUUGUGCCGUCAUGGUCAGAUGUUAUAAAUUAAAUUAUGGGGAAAGAAAGGGUACUUGAACCAAGUCAGGUUUUAUGACAUAGUGUUUCAUUAUGUUCUCUGGUGGGACACUGAGUCUCAGGAUUCUCAGCAAUAUUCACAGAACUUCAUUGGAACCCAGACCCAGAAGGCAUUGCCUCCAAGAAGGAAUAGCCCCAUC
rnacentral:lncRNA from 9 species